rnacentral:rRNA from 1 species
UACAGAGGUCUCGAGCGUUAGGCGGAAUCACUGGGCGUAAAGGGUGUGUAGGCGGCUUUGCAAGUCGGGUGUGAAAGCCCUCGGCUCAACCGAGGAAGUGCGCCCGAAACUGCAGAGCUUGAGUACCGGAGAGGGUGGCGGAAUUCCCCAAGUAGAGGUGAAAUUCGUAGAUAUGGGGAGGAACACCGGUGGCGAAGGCGGCCACCUGGACGGAUACUGACGCUGAGACGCGAAAGCGUGGGGAGCAAACAGG